rnacentral:misc_RNA from 1 species
CCUCUCUUCGCCUCAGGCUACAUCUCGCUUUUGUCGGAAUCUAAGCUCGAAUCACUCGUAUCUCUUCCGUAGUUGGGAGCUCAGGACACUUGUAGAAUGCACCCCAAGAACAGCGCAGGAAGUGUACUCGCUUGGGCAAGGUCUUUGAGGGUCAAGGGGAUCUCAGUGGAUCAAAACUUGGUGGAGAGGAGUUGUUCAAGCAGCGAGGAUCCGCUUCCUCUUUGCUUCUUCCAUCCGGCCAAUUCACUUGCAGCUACUGACUAGCGCCCUGCUUGCAGUCACAAGUAUAGUGUUCUGGGUGUGAUGUCAGGUUAGCUAGCUACAAGCUUAC